CGCGGCCUAUCAGCUUGUUGGUGGGGUGAUGGCCUACCAAGGCGACGACGGGUAGCCGGCCUGAGAGGGUGUCCGGCCACACUGGGACUGAGAUACGGCCCAGACUCCUACGGGAGGCAGCAGUGGGGAAUAUUGCACAAUGGGCGCAAGCCUGAUGCAGCGACGCCGCGUGGGGGAUGACGGCCUUCGGGUUGUAAACCUCUUUCACCAUCGGCGAAGCCGGGAGCUUGUGUUUCCGGUGACGGUAGGUGGAGAAGAAGCACCGGCCAACUACGUGCCAGCAGCCGCGGUAAUACGUAGGGUGCGAGCGUUGUCCGGAAUUACUGGGCGUAAAGAGCUCGUAGGUGGUUUGUCGCGUUGUCCGUG
rnacentral:rRNA from 1 species